AUACGGAGGGUCCGGGCGUUAUCCGGAUUUAUUGGGUUUAAAGGGAGCGCAGGCGGAGAUGCAAGCGUGACGUCAAAUUUCGGGGCUCAACCCCGUCUCGCGUCGCGAACUGCGUCCCUUGGUUGCGGGAAGGGGAGGCGGAACUCGGGGUGUAGCGGUGAAAUGCAUAGAUAUCACGAAGAACUCCGAUCGCGAAGGCAGCCUUCCGGCCCGUCAACGACGCUCAUGCUCGAAGGUGCGGGUAUCAAACAGGAUUAGAUACCCUGGUAGUCCGCACAGUAAACGAUGGACACCCGCGGUUUGGCCUGUAUGGCUGAGCCGCCAAGCGAAAGCGUUAAGUGUCCCACCUGGGGAGUACGCCGGCAACGGUGAAACUCAAAGGAAUCGACGGGG
rnacentral:rRNA from 1 species